rnacentral:rRNA from 1 species
UACGUAGGCAGCAAGCGUUGUUCGGAGUUACUGGGCGUAAAGGGUGUGUAGGCGGCCUUCUAAGUUCGGUGUGAAAUCUCCCGGCUCAACCGGGAGGGUGCGCCGGAAACUGGCAGGCUAGAGUGUGGGAGAGGAAAGUGGAAUUCCUGGUGUAGCGGUGAAAUGCGUAGAUAUCAGGAGGAACACCGGUGGUGUAGACGGCUUUCUGGACCAUAACUGACGCUGAGACACGAAAGCGUGGGUAGCAAACAGG